UACGGGGGGGGUAAGCGUUGUUCGGAAUUAUUGGGCGUAAAGGGCUUGUAGGCGGUUUGUCGCGUCGGGAGUGAAAACUCAGGGCUUAACCCUGAGCCUGCUUCCGAUACGGGCAGACUAGAGGUAUGCAGGGGAGAAUGGAAUUCCUGGUGUAGCGGUGAAAUGCGCAGAUAUCAGGAGGAACACCGGUGGCGAAGGCGGUUCUCUGGGCAUUACCUGACGCUGAGGAGCGAAAGUGUGGGGAGCAAACAGG
rnacentral:rRNA from 1 species